rnacentral:misc_RNA from 1 species
UCUCCGUUGGUGAACCAGCGGAGGGAUCAUUACAGAGUUGCAAAACUCCCUAAACCAUUGUGAACGUUACCUAAACCGUUGCUUCGGCGGGCGGCCCCGGGGUUUACCCCCCGGAACCAGGCGGCCCGCCGGGGGACCCAAACUCUAGAUUUUUAUUUUAGCAUGUCUGAGUGGAAUCAUUACAAAAUGAAUCAAAACUUUCAACAACGGAUCUCUUGGUUCUG